AACGAACGCUGGCGGCAGGCCUAACACAUGCAAGUCGAGCGCCCCGCAAGGGGAGCGGCGGACGGGUGAGUAACGCGUGGGAACGUGCCCUUUGCUACGGAAUAGCCCUGGGAAACUGGGAGUAAUACCGUAUGUGCCCUUCGGGGGAAAGAUUUAUCGGCAAAGGAUCGGCCCGCGUUGGAUUAGGUAGUUGGUGGGGUAAUGGCCUACCAAGCCGACGAUCCAUAGCUGGUUUGAGAGGAUGAUCAGCCACACUGGGACUGAGACACGGCCCAGACUCCUACGGGAGGCAGCAGUGGGGAAUCUUAGACAAUGGGCGCAAGCCUGAUCUAGCCAUGCCGCGUGAGCGAUGAAGGCCUUAGGGUUGUAAAGCUCUUUCGUGGGGGAAGAUAAUGACUGUACCCCAAGAAGAAGCCCCGGCUAACUCCGUGCCAGCAGCCGCCGUAACAC
rnacentral:rRNA from 1 species